CCUACGGGAGGCUGCAGUGGGGAAUAUUGGACAAUGGGGGGAACCCUGAUCCAGCCAUGCCGCGUGUGUGAAGAAGGCCCUCGGGUUGUAAAGCACUUUCAGUGAGGAAGAACGCCUGGUGGUUAAUACCCAUCAGGAAAGACAUCACUCACAGAAGAAGCACCGGCUAACUCCGUGCCAGCAGCCGCGAUAAUACGGAGGGUGCGAGCGUUAAUCGGAAUUACUGGGCGUAAAGCGCGCGUAGGUGGCUUGAUAAGCCGGUUGUGAAAGCCCCGGGCUCAACCUGGGAACGGCAUCCGGAACUGUCAAGCUAGAGUGCAGGAGAGGAAGGUAGAAUUCCCGGUGUAGCGGUGAAAUGCGUAGAGAUCGGGAGGAAUACCAGUGGCGAAGGCGGCCUUCUGGACUGACACUGACACUGAGGUGCGAAAGCGUGGGUAGCAAACAGGAUUAGAUACCCUGGUAGUC
rnacentral:rRNA from 1 species